UUUUUGCCCUGUAUGAAUUAUCAUGUGUGUGUUCAGGUUGCUCUUUUGUGCAAAUCUUUUACCACACUCAGAACAGACAAAUGGUUUUUGCCCUGUAUGAAUUAUCAUGUGUGUGUUCAGGUGGCUCUGCUCUUUUGCCCAAAUCUCUUACCACACUCAGGACAGACAAAUGUUUUUUGCCCUGUAUGAAUUAUCAUGUGUGUUUUCAGAGUGCCCUUUUGCGCAAAUCUUUUACCACAUUCAGAACAGACAAAUGGUUUUUGUCCUGUCUGAAUU